rnacentral:rRNA from 1 species
CCUACGGGAGGCAGCAGUGGGGAAUAUUGCGCAAUGGGCGGAAGCCUGACGCAGCGACGCCGCGUGGGGGAUGACGGCCUUCGGGUUGUAAACCUCUUUCAGCAGGGACGAAGCGAAAGUGACGGUACCUGCAGAAGAAGCACCGGCUAACUACGUGCCAGCAGCCGCGGUAAUACGUAGGGCGCAAGCGUUGUCCGGAAUUAUUGGGCGUAAAGAGCUCGUAGGCGGUUUGUCGCGUCUGCUGUGAAAACCCGAGGCUCAACCUCGGGCCUGCAGUGGGUACGGGCAGACUAGAGUGCGGUAGGGGAGACUGGAAUUCCUGGUGUAGCGGUGGAAUGCGCAGAUAUCAGGAGGAACACCGAUGGCGAAGGCAGGUCUCUGGGCCGCAACUGACGCUGAGGAGCGAAAGCAUGGGGAGCGAACAGGAUUAGAUACCCUGGUAGUCCAUGCCGUAAACGUUGGGCACUAGGUGUGGGGCUCAUUCCACGAGUUCCGUGCCGCAGCAAACGCAUUAAGUGUCCCGCCUGGGGAGUACGGCCGCAAGGCUAAAACUCAAAGGAAUUGACGGGGGCCCGCACAAGCGGCGGAGCAUGCGGAUUAAUUCGAUGCAACGCGAAGAACCUUAC